rnacentral:rRNA from 1 species
AGAGUUUGAUCCUGGCUCAGGAUGAACGCUAGCUACAGGCUUAACACAUGCAAGUCGAGGGGCAGCAUGGUCUUAGCUUGCUAAGGCCGAUGGCGACCGGCGCACGGGUGAGUAACACGUAUCCAACCUGCCGUCUACUCUUGGACAGCCUUCUGAAAGGAAGAUUAAUACAAGAUGGCAUCAUGAGUCCGCAUGUUCACAUGAUUAAAGGUAUUCCGGUAGACGAUGGGGAUGCGUUCCAUUAGAUAGUAGGCGGGGUAACGGCCCACCUAGUCUUCGAUGGAUAGGGGUUCUGAGAGGAAGGUCCCCCACAUUGGAACUGAGACACGGUCCAAACUCCUACGGGAGGCAGCAGUGAGGAAUAUUGGUCAAUGGGCGAGAGCCUGAACCAGCCAAGUAGCGUGAAGGAUGACUGCCCUAUGGGUUGUAAACUUCUUUUAUAAAGGAAUAAAGUCGGGUAUGGAUACCCGUUUGCAUGUACUUUAUGAAUAAGGAUCGGCUAACUCCGUGCCAGCAGCCGCGGUAAUACGGAGGAUCCGAGCGUUAUCCGGAUUUAUUGGGUUUAAAGGGAGCGUAGAUGGAUGUUUAAGUCAGUUGUGAAAGUUUGCGGCUCAACCGUAAAAUUGCAGUUGAUACUGGAUAUCUUGAGUGCAGUUGAGGCAGGCGGAAUUCGUGGUGUAGCGGUGAAAUGCUUAGAUAUCACGAAGAACUCCGAUUGCGAAGGCAGCCUGCUAAGCUGCAACUGACAUUGAGGCUCGAAAGUGUGGGUAUCAAACAGGAUUAGAUACCCUGGUAGUCCACACGGUAAACGAUGAAUACUCGCUGUUUGCGAUAUACUGCAAGCGGCCAAGCGAAAGCGUUAAGUAUUCCACCUGGGGAGUACGCCGGCAACGGUGAAACUCAAAGGAAUUGACGGGGGCCCGCACAAGCGGAGGAACAUGUGGUUUAAUUCGAUGAUACGCGAGGAACCUUACCCGGGCUUAAAUUGCAGAUGAAUUACGGUGAAAGCCGUAAGCCGCAAGGCAUCUGUGAAGGUGCUGCAU